rnacentral:rRNA from 1 species
UAACUCCGUGCCAGCAGCCGCGGUAAUACGGAGGGUGCGAGCGUUGUCCGGAAUCAUUGGGCGUAAAGAGUUCGUAGGUGGCCUGUUAAGUCUGGUGUUAAAUGCAGAUGCUCAACAUCUGUUCGGCACUGGAUACUGGCAAGCUUGAAUGCGGUAGAGGUAAAGGGAAUUCCUGGUGUAGCGGUGAAAUGCGUAGAUAUCAGGAGGAACAUCGGUGGCGUAAGCGCUUUACUGGGCCGUAAUUGACACUGAGGAACGAAAGCCAGGGUAGCAAAUGGGAUUAGAUACCCCAGUAGUCCUGGCCGUAAACGAUGGAUACUAGGUGUUGCGGGUAUCGACCCCUGCAGUGCCGAAGCAAACGCGAUAAGUAUCCCGCCUGGGGAGUACGCACGCAAGUGUGAAACUCAAAGGAAUUGACGGGGACCCGCACAAGCGGUGGAACAUGUGGUUUAAUUCGAAGCAACGCGAAAAACCUUACCAGGGCUUGACAUCUAACAAACACUUGUGAAAGCGAGUGGUGCUCUUCGGAGAAUGUUAAGACAGGUGGUGCACGGUUGUCGUCAGCUCGUGUCGUGAGAUGUUGGGUUAAGUCCCGCAACGAGCGCAACCCUCGUCGUUAGUUGGAUGUGUCGGUACACUUACACAUUCCUCUCUAGCGAGACUGCCGGUGAUAAACCGGAGGAAGGUGGGGACGACGUCAAAUCAUCAUGCCCCUUAUGCUCUGGGCUACACACGUGUUACAAUGGCUGGUACAACGAGCCGCCAACUCGUGAGAGUGAGCAAAUCUCUAAAAACCAGUCUCAGUUCGGAUUGCACUCUGCAACUCGAGUGCAUGAAGUCGGAAUCGCUAGUAAACGCAGAUCAGCACGCUGCGUUGAAUACGUUCCCGGGUCUUGUACACACCGCCCGUCACACCAUGGAAGUCGACCACGCCCGAAGUACGUGAGCUAACCGUAAGGGAGCAGCGUCCUAAGGCAGGGUUGGUGACUGGGGGGAAGUCGUAACAAGGUAGCCGUACCGGAAGGUGUGGCUG